CGCCAGCCCCGUGUUGCUCUUUUCGUAUCAUCAUCCUGCGCCUGUUUUAUCUACGCCACGACGCUGGUGUUGUACCCCAUCCCGAGCAUCGUGACGUGUACCUUGCGGGUGUGGCUGAGGGAGAUUGGCUUCUCCCUGUCGUACGGCGCCCUCAUGCUGAAGACUUGGAGAAUCUCGGUCAUCUUCCGGGUCAGGUCAGCCAAGGCGGUCAAGAUCACUGAUCUUGACCUCAUGAAGCGACUGGGCAUUAUUGUCGGGGUAUUUUCAGUCUUCCUGGCCAUACGCACUGUAGUGGCCCCACCCCAUGUCAUAGUGUCGAUGACUGCUCGGUGAAGGCUU